GAAAUAAAAUAAAAAGACCAAAACAGCGAGCGUUAGAGAAGCAGUCCCUUUGUUUCGAAGGGAAUUUGCAUCUCUUUCGUCGUCAUCUUCUUCUUCUAUAUCAAGAAAAACAAAAUCUAUAUUACAUUGUUUUCCUCUUCUAUCAAACACUCCCGUAUACACCCGAAUACUCAUUCACCUAACCAUAAAGUCAUCAGCUUUUUCAUUUUUUUCUCAAUACUGAAUAAAGAAACACAGAAUCUGAUUCUCUUUGGUUUUAGUUUUUUGCUUGAUGAUCAGUGACAGACAAUGGCUGCAAUGAUUGCUAAGUCUAGGAUUAACCGGGAUGAUGAUAAUAAAAUUAGGAGAUUUCAAGGGGCUUCCUUGAAUUUUUCAUUGCAUGAAACAAGGGAAAGAGUUAAGAAGUCCCGGCAAAAUAAGUUUAAUGAGGUAGUAGCAUCUAAGAUGAGAAGGAAGAUUUCGUGUAAGAAAGUGGAAGUGAUUCAAUUGUCAUCAGAUAGUGAUGAUGAUGACUGGUCUCCCCGAAGGAGAAAGAAAGCUCCGAAUAGGAAACUUAUAUUAGCCGCGGAAAGUGAACUUUCAGAGAGUGAUGAGGAGUGCUCACCUUCGGAAAGAAGGAACGAUUUGUCUGAGAAAAUUAAGCCAGCCCCGGAGAUUGAAUUGUCGAAAAGUGAUGACCAGUGGUUUCUUGGAGCAAGAAGGAAAGAUUCAUCUAAGAAAACUAAUCCAGCCCCAGAGAUUGAAUUGUUGAAAAGUGAUGAUCAUUGGUGUCUGGGAACAAGAAGGAAAGCUUCAUCUAAUAAAACUAAGCCAGCCUCAGAAAUUGAAUUAAUGAAAAGUGAUGAUCAACAGUGUCUAGGAACAAGAAGCAAAGCUUCAUCUAAGAAAAUUACGUUAACCCCAGAUGUUGGAUUUUCAGGGAGUAAUGGUGAGUUGCCUCAAACAAGAGUCAAAACAUCAUCUAAGAAAAUUAAGUCAACUUCAGAAAUUGAGUUGUCAAAUAGUAGUGAUGAGUGGUCACCUCGAGCGAGAAGAAAAACUUCAUCUAAAAAAGUGAAGCCAGUUACGGAAUCUGACUUUUUGGAGAGUAAUGGGUUUCCAAAGAGGCAGCAGAAUGGUUUAAAAAAGCGUAGCAGAAGCAGUUCUGUAGGUGUAGGUUUUGAUGUUGACUCGGAAGAGGAUGUGUUGGAAGCAAUUUGUCUUGUAAAAAUGAGAGAGCGAAUAAGAACUAGGAUUUCAAUUACUGAGAUGAACGAGAGGAGUCUGAAGGAGGCCAGAGAAAAAAAUAUAGAUUCUAUGAAUUCUUCUUUCUGUGCUUCUUCUUCUUCAGAAUCAGCUUCUUCUAGCUUAUCAGUUUCAGUUUCAAAACAUGAUGGUUAUAGCAAUGGUGUGUCUGCAGCGAGAAAUGUGAAGGCCAAAGGACAAGAAAUCAAACUAUGUCAUCAGUGCAUGAAAAAAGAAAGAAGAACUGUUGUUGUUUGUAAGAAAUGUGAAAGAAUGUACUGCAUACAGUGCAUCAAGCAAUGGUAUCCUGAGAUGACAGAAGGUCAAUUUGCGGAACAAUGCCCAUUUUGUUGUAAAAAAUGCAAUUGCAAUGUGUGUUUGCACUCGAGUGGAUUGAUUAAGACAUCCAAAAGGAAUAUCACCAACCAUGAAAAGGUUCGGCAUCUGCAUUAUUUGAUCAAGUCACUACUUCCUUUUCUGGAACAAAUCUGUGAUGAACAAACUGAAGAAGUUCAGAUUGAGGCUGGUAUUGGAGAUUUCCCUGUUGAUAUAGCUGAGAACUUUUGCUAUAGCAAUGAGCGUGUUUAUUGCAACUACUGUGCCACUUCCAUUGUUGACUUCCAUCGCAGCUGUCGAAAAUGUGCUUAUGAACUAUGCCUCAGUUGUUGUCGAGAAAUUCGAAAGGGAAGCCUUUCAAGUCGUGCUGAAAAAAGUUUUUGGUAUGUGGAUAGAGGCUUUGAUUAUAUGCAUGGUGGAGAUCCACUGCCUUGUCAAUACCAAAAUCCUUAUGACCACAGUGAGUCUCUGGUUCUACCAUGGAAUGCCAGUGAAGAUGGGAGCAUUUCUUGCCCUCCACAAGAAUUGGGUGGUUGUGGUGAUUGUUUAUUGGAGCUAAAGCGUAUCCUUCCACUGGGAUGGGUUGCAGAGUUGAAAAAAAGGGCAGAAGAAUUAUUGGGAAUCUGUGAUACUGAACAGGCAAGUUUGACGUGCAAGUGUAAUGAAGCAGGGGAAGGGGUGUUGAGAAGAGCAGCUUUUAGGGAAGGAUCUGAGGACAAUUACUUGUAUUGUCCUGCUUCAAAGGAUAUUCUUGAGUAUGAACUUUUUCACUUCCAAAAGCACUGGGUUAAAGGUGAGCCAGUUAUAGUUCGUGAUGUUCUCGAGCAGACAACUCAUUUGAGCUGGGAGCCAAAGGUCAUGUGGCGUGCAUUAUGUGAAAAUGUGGAUUCACAUAUUAGUUCAAAAAUGUCUGAAGUGAAGGCUAUUGAUUGUCUGGCUUGUUGCGAGGUGGAGAUCAAUACCCGGCAGUUUUUUAAAGGCUACACGGAAGGGAGAACAUAUCAUAACUUUUGGCCUGAAAUGCUUAAGCUCAAGGACUGGCCUCCAUCAGAUAAAUUCGAAAAUCUUUUGCCACGCCACUGUGACGAGUUUAACAGUGCACUGCCAUUUCAAGAAUACAGUGAUCCAAAUGCUGGAAUCCUUAAUGUUGCUGUGAAGUUUCCAGCAGAUCACCUGCAACCAGAUUUGGGUCCAAAAACUUACAUUGCAUAUGGUACAAGAGAAGAGCUUGGAAGAGGGGACUCAGUGACCAAGCUUCACUGUGACAUGUCAGAUGCGGUAAAUAUUUUGACACAUACUGCUGAAGUAGCAUUAAGUCAAGAACAGUGCUCCGCCAUUGAGCUGUUGAAAAUGAAGCACAGGGCUCAGGAUGAGAAGGAAUAUUUAGAACAAGACAAGGUAGACAAUCCUCACAUUGAACUUGAUCAGGGAAAUGAUAGUUUGAAAGAAGAGAUGGGUGUCUCAGAAAUUAGAGAGCCACAGAAGCCCCCCUCUGAAAUUAAUGAACAACUUGAGAACACUGAAGAUGUGUUAAGAGGAGCUACACUUUCUGGUUUGCCCUCGGAAGUGGAGACUAUGGACAAAACAGGUGGCGCCGCCUUGUGGGACAUUUUCAGAAGGGAGGAUGUUCCCAAGUUAGAGGAAUAUUUGAGAAAGCACCACAGAGAAUUCAGGCACAAUUACUGUGCCCCUGUAGAACGGGUCGUUCAUCCAAUUCAUGACCAAUGUUUCUAUUUAACUGUGGAGCAUAAAAGGAAACUGAAGGAGGAAUUCGGAGUUGAAGCCUGGACAUUUGAACAAAGAGUUGGAGAGGCUGUAUUUAUACCUGCUGGAUGCCCACACCAAGUAAGGAAUCUACAGGAAAAGUGCUUUCUCGUAGAAAGCACAGCAUGAAUGAUGACACAAAGUAAUCAUCCCAUUGAAUUGUGGCUCCACCCUUGUCGGUCCCACAAAUCAAAGUCUGAUAAUUCUGUGUCAUGAUUCAUGAAGCAAAAUUCAUGCUGUAUUGCAUGGCUCAUCUAAAAAUAUUCUGGAGUUCGGAUGAUAAUUUCUGUCUAACAAUGAAAGGAUCAGGAAAUUUCCCAUCACCCCUGUUCGAUAAUAGCCUUUCACAACUAAUGGCAAUAAUAGUUAUCUAGCCUAGUAUAGACACAAUUUCGUCUUCAUUAAUUUUUUUUCAGAAAUAAUUUUUUUACUAAAAAAAGGAAUUGAAAGUACAAAAUAGUCUUUGAAAUUGUUAGAAACUUUUUUGUUGUUUUUUCCUCUCUUCUAAACAACAACCAAGAGCACUAGUGUUUUCAUCAAACCUUUAUGAUUCUAAAUUUGUCCCAGUGAGUUGUGUCAACUUUUAGAUUGUUUUCAAAAACAUUUAGGAAAACUAAUGCUCUGUCUAUGAAGAAUGCUUUCUUUCCUCCUUUUGUUUUGUUCCAACAUACGUUCAUUAUCAAAAUGGCAAAGCAUUAAUUCUCUUAUUUCCAGUUUUAUUCCAAAAAAAAAUGUCUAUUGCUGGAGUGUCUUCUUUCUUAUUUACUCUCUCAAAAAUCAAACUUCAAUGAAUUUUUUUACUUUCAAUGUGAAAGGUAACGCUGUGAAGUUCAUAAAGAGUAGACAUGUCAUGAGACAUGACAUUUUCUACGUAUUUUAAUGUGUUCUUAACAUGGUGUGCAUAUUAAAUACCAUACCCUUAUAGUUUUCUACCAAGUUGAAUAGGAUGCUCUUGGUAGGAUAGAACAAAACUCUAUCUAAUCAACAUCAACACAACAAUAGAAAGAAAAUCUCUCGGUCAAAUUUUCUUCUCGUCCGCUCUAAACUCUACUUUUAAAUGAUCCAAUACUCAUCUAGUCAAAUUCUCUCUUUUGUUUGUCUUGAAAGAAAGUAUCUUAGUUUGGAACCUCUCCUCCACUCAAGCAUAUUGAAUGUGUCUCCUUUUAUGGUUUGUUUGUCUCAGUGGUUGAAACUUGAUUUGUUUGUCUCGGUGGUUGAAACGAUUUCAACCACCGAAAAGCAUCAAUUAAUGUUUUUUGAUGGUUGAAACAGACAGACACUCUUACCACCAAUGACUAGGGUAGCCCCCUCACUCCAAAUUAACCAGACUUGGAGAUGUAGGGGGUUUUGAACAGUCAGAUAUGAAUAUGUUACAAUAUGACCAGAUGAUAAGCACAAUUGGAUCACUUGAAAAGCCUGACUGACAUAAUUUUUUAUCCAAUCGUUGGAUCUUGCUCAAAUUUUAUCAAGAGAUUCUAUGGACGUUGUUCUACACGGGACCAGCUAGCCUUGCGGCUCACAUCAAGAAGGCCUUCAAAAAAUCUUGCACAAAAGUUGCUGUCGACUUCGUCUCACCCGAAAAUAUAAGGGAAUGCCUCCGGUUAACUGAAGAGUUUCGACAACUUCCAGUGAACCAUAGAGCUAGAGAGGAUAAACUAGAGGUAA